UCCUCUAAAUACACACAAAAUGCCGUACGAACUUAGCGAGACAUUUGAUAAGGUACCCCAUGCAAGGCUUAUUCAGAAAGUAAGAAGGCUAGGGGAUCCAAGGGGACCUUGCUUUUGGAUCCAAAACUGACUUGCACACAGAAGGCAAAAAGCGGUUGCAGAUGGGUCACAUUCUGCAUGGAGGCCGGUGACCAGUGGCGUGCCUCAGGGAUCGACGGAGAAUGAGAGACUUAGCCUGAAGUGCUGAAUAUUUGCAGCAUUUUCUGUUUCUGUUGAAGAAGCAAAGGGUCUUUGCCAUGGUUUUGAGUCUCUUUGUUAAGAACAGUGGCUGCUGUGCUUUUGAUUCCAAGCGUCUGUAGAAAGUCAUGCAGGAAGUUCAAAGGAAACCUCAGAGUGGUAACUAUUUGGGAUCCAUCACAAAGAGAGUAAGGGGCGAACAGCAGGAUGAACUUAAAAGGAUUAUCGUGGAACAGAAACAUCAGAAGGGUCCAGUUGGACUGAGUUGUCUUCCUCUUAUAUACAGGCCACAUCCUCCUGGUUUGAUUCGCUCCUCCUCCUCUCAAUACACUCUAGCCUCCACUGCGUUUCAGAGCUCCCCAAGCAUGGAGUGUACUGGCUUCUCUUUGGAUUCUCAACUUUCCACAGCAAACAUUUACCUACCGUUCUGCUCAGCCUUUAGAGAGCGGUGUAUUGCAACAACCCAGCUGCACGAGGCACAGCCCUUCGAAAUCUAUGAAAACGACCCAGGAAAGAAAGAGUUUAACCAGCCAUGACAUCCUCUGUUCACCGGGAGCCCUGAGGAAUGAGGAAUAUAUGGGACAAAUUGCCAGUGAAUCCAUCUUCUAUUGCCGUGUGCAGAAAGUAAUAGAGGAGAUUCAAUGGAAACCCCUUCACUCACAGAGUGCUAACCAGUUACAAGACAGCAGCAGGGAUGGAUUUAAAAACACUGAUGUGGAACAGGAGCACAAGCAAAGACCAGCUGGAAUGAAUGGCCUCCCUACACUACAUGGGCCGUGUGGCUAAGCGGCUGAGACAGAGGAUUUGAAAUAGAACUGAUAUAGUUAUCAUAGAUCCACAAUAUUAACCACCAGUCUCAUAUAAAGCUAACAUCAACAGAAAAAACCCCUCCAGUGUACAGUGACCAGGGUUCAGUCCAGGCUGUGAUGAGCAGCCACAACAACUCCAGCAUCUCACAAUAACAACCAGUUGAGAGCUUACAACUUGAUUCAGUCACUAUGCAAGUUAAAAAUUUUACAGCUUUGUUGAACUUCCUUCCUGAUGUGAAGUUGCUGUAGUUUCUACAAGUGACUGACUCACUCACUCAGGAUAGAAGUGUGGCCUCUACUUAUUGUGAACUUACCGGAGCCUCACAAGGAGGGUUAACUGAAUUCAAACCUUUCUCACACUCACAACAGCCAUAGCUGCUCUCCUGGGUGAACUGGUAGGUGUUUCAGUAGCUUAGGUAACUACAAUGUGCAGGGUUAGAUUACCUAUCAGUCAAAAGCUGCUUCUACCGUGUCGGCCAUCGAUUGGCCCAUUUGAAGGAUGCUGCAGCUCUUUCCCAUCAGUUGCUUUGUGCGCCAUGGCACUGAUGUCCACUUUCAGGGGCCUCUGGGGCUUUCUUUGUCUCUGGGCACUCAUUUCACACUGAGAUCGUAACUACCUCCGAAGAACCAUUGGGAGAGUAUGCUGCAGUUAUAGGAGGGUGAAAGCUUACUCUGUCAUAAGGUGGGCUUUGAGAAUGGACCCAAAUGCAAGUCACAGACAUUGAAGUACUAGGGAGAGGACUAGGUGUAUCAAGAAAGCAAGAGAAGUGAGGAAGAAAGGACGCUGGACAUGACACAGGCCCUGGGCUUGACAAGGAUUCCGGGCCUGGGUUAGGAAUUGACUGGGUUAGCAGAACCAGGACAUGGAACUAGGAACUAGGAGCUGGGCUUGGACUCCGUGCCAGAGACUGGACAAGGACCUAGAACCUGAGUCUUGACUCGGGCUCAGACCACAGAACUAGCAGAGGACAUGACGAGGCUUGGGUAUGGACUCCAAGCCAGAGACUGGGCAAGGACCCAAAACCCGGUUCUUGACUUGGGCUCGGACUCCAGAAGUAGGCGAGGACAAGACGUGGCUACAGGAUGAGGACAGGCAACAGGACUGGAUGUGAGAGUCCUGGACAGGACAAGGGAACCCCAGCACCGGGCUGGGCAAGGUACUCCUGGACUGGGCGAGGCACAUGCACAAGACAAGAACACAAAGUUGUGGCUUGGACAGGACGAGGUUCUUGGACUAUGCUAGGACUGGACCAGACCCCGAAGCAUUGACUUGGUUGAGGAGAGACAGGAACGCAGAGCCUUGGUCGAGGGAGAGACAGGAACGCAGAGCCUUGGUCGAGGGAGAGACAGGAACGCAGAGCCUUGGUCGAGGGAGAGACAGGAACGCAGAGACUUGGUCGAGGGAGAGACAGGAACAUGGAACACAGAGCUGGAAUCCCUCCUUGAAAGCAGGACGUAGGGCACAGAAUGCAGAAUACGAUGAGACAGUUCCCAACACAAGGUAGUAGUAGACAGCUGGACCUACCUAGCAAAGGCAUGGACAGAGACAGUUUCCAACACUAGGUAUCAGCAAACAACCGGACCUACCGAGUGUGGCAAGGACACAAAGACAGUUCCCAACACUAGAUAGCGGCAAAUAGCCAGACCUACCUAGCGAAGGCGUGGACACAGAGACAGUUCAAAACAACAAAAGACAGUUCCUUAUCUUGCUUCGGUGGUUGAAUUUGACAGCGGUGAAGGCAAGGCUUCAGGCGAGACGAGGCUCCAGGAAGAAGGUGUAGGGAAGGGAUACAGACAGGCAGUUUGGACAGGAACAAUCCAGCAGCCAGAGGUGGAAUCCUGAAACUAUUUAUGAGGCCAGCCCAAACCAGAAUCAGCUGCCUCAACAGAAACAGGGGAAAACCGGAAAACCUGGAAUAAGGAACUUGGACCAGACCAUGAACUGGAAUGCGGAUUUCCCGGACAGGACCAUGACAUACUCUUAGCUGUUGAAUGUUUCCUUUAGUAGUUGUGUCAGUUGGGGAGACCAAAUGAGGCACCUGUUGAGUUUCAGUGUACUAAAUGUUUAGUGUCAUAGUUUCCAUAGAUGUUUGGUUGAAUGUUUUAUUGUUUGUCUGUAAAUAAAUGGUUAAUGUGAUCUUUCAUAAUCAGUGUCUUCUGUCUCACGAAACCUGUGAACCUUUUUCCUUGUAACAUUUAGAUAAAGAUGAAUACCUUUAAAAGUUUGUUUAAGAGAGGACCCCUGGUUGCCUGCUCCACCCCCAUAUGAGCAAUGCCGAGUCCCGGGGAGGACUGACAACGGCAUGCAAUUUGGGAGUGUCAC